rnacentral:rRNA from 1 species
AUUGAACGCUGGCGGCAGGCUUAACACAUGCAAGUCGAGCGAGCGGCGGACGGGUGAGUAAUGUAUGGGGAACUGCCUGAUGGAGGGGGAUAACUACUGGAAACGGUAGCUAAUACCGCAUACUAUCGGAUGUACCCAGAUGGGAUUAGCUAGUAGGUGGGGUAAUGGCUCACCUAGGCGACGAUCCCUAGCUGGUCUGAGAGGAUGAGCAGCCACACGGGAACUGAGACACGGCCCAGACUACUACGGGAGGCAGCAGUGGGGAAUAGUGCACAAUGGGCGCAAGCCUGAUGCAGCCAUGCCGCGUGUGUGAAGAAGGCCUUGGGGUUGUAAAGCACUUUCAGCGAGGAGGCGUUACGCGCAGAAGAAGCACCGGCUAACUCCGUGCCAGCAGCCGCGGUAAUUC